GGCUCGGUAGCGCCGGUGCACAUCUGUGUUUAAUUCAUAUAGGAAAAAUGAGAAGUACAGCAGAGCGCCCGUUCGACUCGGGCCCGGGCCA